AGUACAAUAAUAUAAUCAGAGAGAGAGAGAGAGAGAGAGAGAGAGAGGGAGGGUCACUCAGUUUGGCUACCGAGUUGUGAGAGGUGGGACGUGAAAGCCAGCUCACUCUCUCACUCGUUCACUCGCGCUCACUCGCUCACUCACUCUACAGCGCUGCUCCCUCAAGGCAAGCGACCUCUGGCAACCUCAUUCACGCCCCCCCCGCCCCCCUGCCGCCCCCCUCGAGGACACGUAUAUAAGGAACCGCCCUCACGAAAUCUACAUCACUUCGAGGAGGACCACCGAGGAGAGAGGAAGUGUGUGCGUGUCGGAGGGAAGCGUGACCGUGUGAAAGAGAGAGAGGUGGAAGCGAAGAUGUAGAAAGAGAAGUGAAGGAAAGUUGGAUAAAUGAAGGAAUUAGAAGAGACGGAAAUAUAAAUAACGUAAAAAUAAGAAAUAUGGGAAAUAUGUGAGUUUUGGAACGAGUGUUUACAUUAAGAAGGAGAGAGAAAGAGAGAAAGAGAGAGAGAGAGGGAGAGAUUAAAAAGAGCGAAUUAUAAGGAAAGAAACGAAGUAAGAAAGAAAGAAAGAGAGAUAAAGAAAAAGAUAGUGAGUGAAACAGAAAUAAAAAAAGAAAGAGAGUAAGAGAGACAGAAAUAACGAAAGAGAAAUAAAGAAAAAAAGAUAAAAUUGAAGAAAAAGAGAAAAUUAAUAUAAAGAAAACAAGGAAACAAAAGGAAAAAGAAGAAGAAGAAGAAGAAGCAGAAGAAGAAGAAGAAGAAGAAGAAGAAGAAGAAGAAGGAAGGAAGGAAGGAAGGAAGGAAGGUCAAAACAACAACAACAACAACAACAACAACAACAGCGACAACAAGGUCAUCCGAGGUCAACCGAGGUCAUGUCUUCCAAAGGUGACCGCAUCCUCUCCCAGAUCCAAGCUAUGCAAUAUCACGUGACCCAACUUCGUCAGGAGGCGAGUGUCAAGCGAAUCCCCGUCAGCCAGGCUUGUCAGGACCUGAUGAAGUACUGUGAGGAGCACCAGAAAGGGGACGUGUUGGUGACGGGAAUCAGCCAGUCUGAAAACCCCUUCAAAGAGAACAAGGCCUGCACCGUGUUGUGAUGCUGGCGAGGCGACCCCCGGGUUACCUCCACCUAGAGAAGCUUAGAAGAUCAUGGAUACGGCCCACGGGGGAAGAAGAGGAGGAGGAGGAGAAGGAAGAGGAGGAGGGAGGUGGCGAUGGGAUAUGAUGUAGUGUGUAAGAUAUCAGAGGGGGAGGAGGAGGAAGAGGAGGAGGAGGAAGAGGAGGAGGAGGAAGAAAUAAAAGAAAACGAAAUAAAGAAGAUAGGAAUGAUAACAGAAGAAGAAGAAGAAGGAGAAGACGAAGAAGAAGAAGAAGAAGAAGAAGAAGAAGAAGAAGGAAGAGAAAAGAAACGGAAGAAGAUAAAAAAAGAAGAGGAGGAGGAGGAGGAGGAGAGAAAAGAAAAAUAGAAGAUUAGAAUGAGAAGAAGGAAGAAAGAAGAAGAAAAAUGGGAGGAGGAGGAGGAGGAGGAAGAAGAGAACUAGGAAAAGGAAGAUAAGGAAGAAGAGGAGAAGGAGGAGGAGGAGGAGGAGGAAUAGGAGGAAGAACUAGGAUACGGAAACACACACACGCACACACGAAUCAGAAGAAGAAGAAGAAGAAGAAGAAGAAGAAGAAGUUUUUACAAUAUAUAUCAAAAGAAAAAAAGAAAAAAAAGCCUACCAAUGAUUUAUAUAAAGGCGUAUAUCAAUAUUCAUAAGACUGUCUAUAACAUGUAACGUACGUGUCUGUCUGUCUGUCUGUCUGUAUGUAUGUAUGUAUGUAUGUAUGACGACCUAAUCUUACUACUACGACUACUACGACUACUACUACUCACUAUCAGGUUGUAGAGAGAGAGAGAGAGAGAGAGAGAGAGAGAGAGAGAGAGAGAGAGAGAGAGAGAGAGAGAGAGAGAGAGAGAGAGAGAGAGAGAGAGAGAGAGAGAGAGAGAACAUUCUAACUGUGUGUGUGUGUGUGUGUGUGUGUGUGACGCAUUUCCUGUAUUAAUCAUGUAUGCUUGUGUGCGUGUGUGUGUGUGUGUGUGUGUGUGUGUGUGUGUGUGUGUGUGUGUGUGUGUGUGUGUGUGUGUGUAACGAUACGAGAUGUUUUUUUCCUCAAUUCUCGUUAUUCUGAAUUUUAUCAUAAAUUUUAAGCUGGCACAUGUAUACUACUUCAAUAUCUUCUAAUGCUUUCUUAUAUACGGCCCUGCUGUAUAGGCCUACACUAUUUAAUUUCCUUCUUUCUUCAAUGCUUUUCUAUAGCAAUACGUGUAGGCCUAUGUAUGUAUCAUUAUCUAUCCUCCUCCUCCUACAUCUCGUUCUGUGGUGCUGAUUUACAUAUACUUAAAUUUCUUCUAUUUAGGCCUACACUAUCUAAUUUCCUUCUUCAAUGUUUUUCUAUAGCAAUACGUGUAGGCCUAUGUUUAUAUCAUUAUCUAUCCUCCUCCUCUUAUAUCUCGUUCUGUGGUGCUGAUUUACAUAUACUUAAAUUUCUUCCUCUGUUUCUUUAUAUACGGUGCUAUUAUAAGUCUGUCUAUAUAGGCCUACACUAUCUAAUUUCCUUCUUCUUUUCUAUAGCAAUACGUGUAGGCCUAUGUAUGUAUCAUUAUCUAUCCUUAUAUCUCGUUCCAUGGUGCUAAUUUACAUAUACUUAAAUUUCUUCCUGUUUCCUUAUAUACGGUGCUGUUAUAAGUCUGUCUAUUGGUACCUUUCUUAUUAAACGUCAAUAUCUAUCCCCCUCCUCUUAUAUCUCGUUCUGUGGUGCUGAUUUACAUAUACUUAAAUUUCUUCCUCUGUUUCCUUAUAUGCGGUGCUGUUAUAAGUCUGUCUAUAUAUAGGUCCUCUUCUUAAACUUAUCAAGCUUACAUUACGGUUGUUUUUAAUAGCCACGGAGAAGUAUCAUUGGAAUUCCAUGGGUGAUUUUUCAGUUUAAUGCGCAGAGGUCAUGUCAAACUACCACCAGGGUCACAAAAUAGCCCAUGGAAAGCACUACAACAACUUCUACGAUAGGCUUUUCAACCAGACUCUCUCCCAUUCUAAACACGGCUAUUUCCGAGACCACAGGGAAGAUUAACCGAGUCUCCAUGGGUCAUUUUUCCGUUCAAUGCGCAGAGGUCAUGUCAAACUACCACCAGGGUCACAAAACAGCCCAUGAAAAGCACUACAACAACUUCUACGAUAGGCUUUUCAAUCAGACUCUCUCUCUCCCAUUCUAAACACGGCUAUUUCCGAGACCACAGGGAAGGUUAACCGAGUCUCCAUGGGUCAUUUUUCCGAUCAAGCAGAGGUCAUGUCAAACUAUCAUCAGGGUCACAAACAGCCCAUGAAAGUCCCAGAGCAAGAAGAUUUACUGGGUUUUCAUGGGUCAUUUUCAAGGUCAGAGUGCAGAGGUCAUGUCAAACUAUCACCAGGGUCACAAACACCCCAUGAAAGUCCCUGAGCAAGAAGAUUUACUGGGUUUUCAUGGGUCAUUUUCAAGGUCAGAGUGCAGAGGUCAUGUCAAACUACCACCAGGGUCACAAAACAGCCCAUGAAAGUCCCAGAGCAAGAAGAUUUACUGGGUUUUCAUGGGUCAUUUUCAAGGUCAGAGUGCAGAGGUCAUGUCAAACUACCACCAAGGUCACAAAACAGCCCGUGGAAAGCACUACAACAACUUCUACGAGAGUGCAUUGGUGGGCCAAGACGUCUAAAAAUUCGGAUUUCAUAUAUAUGUAUCUAUUUUGUAUAUCUAUCUUUCUCCUCUAAUCUAUUGUUCUAUGGUGCUGUUCUAUUGCCUGUGUGUGUGUGUGUGUGUGUGUGUGUGUGUGUGUGUGUGUGUGUGUGUGUGUUAUUUAUGUAUUUUUGAGUGUAUAAGUUUUCUAUGCCUUGGGAUAUUGUAUUAGUUAUUGCAUCCACACGUAUAUAUGUAUAAACCACUACCAGAAUA